GAUUACCCGCUGAACUUAAGCAUAUCAAUAAGCGGAGGA
rnacentral:rRNA from 3 species